UCACACCCUGCCAGAUUUCUCAGUUUUGUCUUUUUUUGUGUGUGUGUGUGGAAGGCUCAGCACUCAAAACCCUUAGAUAGAAGUGGUCCAAAGUGACUACUGGCUCCAGCCUCUCCAAAGAUUUUCACAUAAACCUUUGCCUUACCCGAGAAGUGCCCAUGAACAGUAGGUACCACCAGGAGGCCACGGACAGCACCACUGUCAGAUCUCAUGCUGUGGCUUGAAAGUCUUGUCCCCCAGAGCGCAAGUGACAAACCUAGUCUCCAAUGUAGCAGCAUUGGAAGAUAGGCCCAGUGUGGCGUGGUCAGCCUGCAGGGGCCUCACCCUCAUGGACGGAUUGAUGCUGAUCAUGAAAGAGCUUAAGGCUGUCAUUUGACUUUGUUCUCUUGCCCAUGUGAUGCCUUCCACCACUUUACGGCGUAUCUAGAGGACCUCACCAGAUGUAGCCUCUCAGCCUUGGAUCUCCUCCAGAACUGUGAGGAAAGCAAGAUUCUAAAAUGUAAUUUGUCAAGAUCACACAAACCACAUCAAAGAAGCCUGAGUUUGAACGCAUCUGGACUCAAGCUCAGCUCUUCUGUGACUCUCACUAAUUACAAAGGGAGCUGGGUAGCUGCUGUACAGACACCAGUGAGCAACUUUCACUGAGUUUCUAAGUGCCAGAAUCUGCAAUAAGGGCUUAAUGCUUCAUUUUCUUACCAAAACUCAUUAAGAAAAUAGUACCACUGGUUCCAUUUUACACCAGAAGAAUAUGCUUGAAAAGUUGGAAACUCAGUUGGGGAGCAAGUCAGACCAGAUCAGGUGGAACCACUGGGCUGUGCUCUUUUUCCAUACUGGGUGGGGUAUGGUUUUAGUGCUCUCCCAAACUCCUGAGGACAUGGCCUUCUGUAUCAGAUUAACUCCCCAAUGAGUCUAACUCCCACUGACAGCUGCUUAAAGUGGCGCUACUUGGGCAGAGAUGCAGAGAGCACAGGCUCUAGGCUGGGAACACAAGGCACGUGUGACGUAAGUCCUGAGAACACAGCCUGAGAGUCUUUGACUCUGAGGACACACUGUCCAAAAAACGCAAGCUGAGCUGCUGCUUUGGACCAAGCCCUGUGACUCAUUCUUUUAAAUGCAACUCACAGCUGAAAUUUCUGUUCCUCAAGGGAAAACUCCAAAGUGGAGUUAGAAGAUUACUCCUAUGACCUGUAAAAAUGGAAACCCUGAUUAAAAGUUGGGACCAGUGAGGAUUGUGGAGAAAAACUAACUCAAAGACCCAGAGGUGAGACCUCAAACACUGAACCUGCUAGAAGAAAGCAUGGGCAGUGCCUGUAUGAUGUAGGUGAAGCUUUCCCGAUAGACUACAUUUGCAUAGGAAUUAAGGACAACAAUUGACAAAUGGAGUCUCAUAAAACUAAAACCAAAAAGUGUCUGCCCAGCUAAAGAACUAAUCAAUAGAGUGAAGAGGAAGCCCACAGAAUAGGAGAAAAUAUUUGCCAGGUAUACAUCUGACAGAAGAUUAGUAUCCAGAAUGUACAAAGAACUAAAAUACCAAGAAACAGAAGAUCACAUUAAACUCAUUAAAACAAACAACAACAAGAAACAGGCUCCUGAUCUGAAUAGAGAGUUCUCAAAAGAAGAAAUAAAAGUGACUAAGAAACACCACAAAAAAAAAUUUAUAUCCCUAACAAUUAGGGAUAUAAAAAUCAAAACAACUUUGAGAUUUCAUCUUACCUCAGUCAGAAUGGCAGAGACCAACAAACAACCAGCAACAAAUGCUGGAGAGGAUGUAGGAAACCUCAUCCACUGUUGAAUAUCCACUAUAUACAUAUAUAUGUAUAUGUAUGUGUAUAUAUAUAUGUGUGUGUGUGUGUGUGUGUAUGUAUGUAUGUAAUGGAAUACUAUUCUGCUGUAAACAAAAAUAAUGUUGUAAAAUGGAAGUAUAAAGCUUAAACAGAGUGAGGUAACUUGGACCCAGAAAGACAAAUACUUCAUGUUCUCUCUUAUCUGUGGCUCUUAACUCUAAAUCUCUAGAUGUAAGUACAUAGCCUGGAGCAACUGUAGAACCAGAAAAAUAAAAAGGGACUAUGUGGAGGGCACGAGAGAGGAGAAUGACAUGGUACAGGUGAUAUGAAGUUAGAAAAUAAGGGGAGGUUAAUUAGGAAGCGGGGAGAGGUCAGUGCAGAAGGAGAGGGAGAGAUGAGUGUAAACUAGCAAUAAGGAUGUCUGGAAAAGCCAUAAGAAAUUAUAUUAAUAUUUCCUUAUGGAAGAUUACAUAUGGCACAAGUCUGUGUAUACUUAACACACAUAGUUUAGAUGAAAUAUUCCCACCUGGGCUGACACUGUUCCCACAAGAGCCCUAGGUUAGCUGACAAAACCCCGACACCAAGCAUGGCAAGCUCGCUGUAGAGUUGUUGUGGGUGGGGGGAGUCAAAGAGACUCCCAAAAUAUUAUUGACUAUUGCUGUUGUCCUUGGUUGUCUCACAGAAGUGGGAGUAGGGCCCUGCUGUGAAGACACCAUGGACUUUGGACACAGGAUCCAAAGGACCUGAACUGGAUCUGAUCUGAGGACUAGCUUUCCUGGGACCAGAAAGUUGCCUUGGUGAGCGUGUUGGUGUUUUGUUUUGUGUGUCAGUUUGAUAGAGGCUAGAGUCAUCUGGGAAGAGGGAACCUGGACUGAGAAAAUGUUCCCAUCAGACUACCCUUUAGGCAAUCCCGCUGUGGUCCGGUGGUUUUGAGUAUAUAAGAAAGCACGCUAAGCAAGCCAUGGGGAGUGAGGCUACGAAUGAUGUUCCUCUAUGUUUCUGUUUAAGUCACUGCCUCCAGGUUCCUGCCUGGAGCUCCAGCCCUGACUUCCCUUCAUGGUGAACUAUUAACUGAAGACGAAAUAAGCCCCGCCCUCAAAGUUGCUUUUGAUUGUGGUGUGUUUGUCAAGCAAUAGAAACCAAACUAGGAAAGUGACUAAAUCCUGCCAGGAGCCAAAAGCUUGGGUGGGAAGCCUUCUCCAGCUCUGCACCACUCAAGCCCUGUGUCUUUUGGUCGCCCCUGCCCAACCCCAGUUUCUUAAAUAUUUCAAACCUCUGUCACGGAUAGACUUGGUAUUUGGCUUAAAUUUGCCAUAUUUUUUUUAGGGCCACCCUUUUGCAUCAGUGGGCUCGAGAGCUCUGUCUGAAGCUGGAAUUUUGUCUUCAAAGUGGAUUUGCUUAACCACUGUGCACCAACACUCCCACCACAAUAAUUAUCCUGCUUUAUGGCGA